UAAUAAUUAGCUUAAUCGUAGAUAUUUUUCUCUCUCUACCACGUUGCCGUUUUUAUAGUUCCCCCAUGCCCUUUCCGCACCGCACUGCACUGCACUGUUAAUAGAUGAAGAUGAAUCAUUCAUUGGUUCCCUCCGCUGAAUUGCCGCCGGUUAAUGGUUUAGUCCGAAGACGGAAGACCUAACAUGGAGCCUCCUGAGGAAGCAAAACACUAGAAACGGAUCUGGAUUUCUCUUUUCAUUAGCUGCAUCAUAUAUACUAUGAUAGUUUUUACCCUUAGAAGUGAAUUCCUGCCCUAUGUUAUUUCCCUUGAGGCACUUGACUGGAACUAAGGUGAGACCUAGGGCCUAGUCCCACUUGAUGUGUGGCUAUUCAUUAACAUUAAAAGUUUGAUCUUUAAAAUUUAGGGUUUACUUUAGACCUAAUCUGUAUUUCAAUACACUGGGCUUUAGAGGCUAAAUGCUUGUGAAAUGCUAACAUUGCUAGAAUGGGCAAAAUGGAAUUAGGUGCUAUCAGCCAUAGUCUCUUUUGUUCUUUUUCAAUUUUUAUCUGGGUUUUCUCUAUAUAGUUGCAAUUCCUUUAAUUCUUACAAUCAUAUUUGUAGUGAUGUCUCCAUACAGCUGGAUGAGUCGGAAAUGAUGGUUUAUUCUUGACUAUCAGCUGUGUGUGUUUCUGUUGGAAUGGAUAUGAAUAUUUUAUUUCAUUAUUUGUACUGAUUGAACUACAGCAGACAGGGUCUACGUGGUGACUUUUCCUUGUUUGUUUGUUUGUAUAGUCAGCUCUGUUAUGCAUGUUUACGAUUGACUGACAACUAGUUAAGAAUAUUUGGAUGCUUUAGUUCAGCUAGUAUUUUUUUAUUUUUAUUGUGCUGCUAAAGAUGAAGUUUUUCCUAUUUCUGAGUAGGGAACUUUCUGUUUGCGCCGCAUGUAUUUAACUAUGUGCGGAGGAGGCCUCAAUGCUUAGUUCAUUAUUUCUUUAUAUGAUGUUUCAGCAUUAUAUUACAGUUUGAUAAAUACAAGAUUAUCGUGUAUGAUUCAGGGAUAUCCGUUACCUCUUUAUGUUUGACAAUAGUGCAAUACUGCUUUACAAUUCACAGUGAAGAACCAUAAAUCAUGCUUAUUACUUAAGAAGAAUACAGCAAUUACUGUGACAAUAUGACCUAUGAAGUUCCCAACCUUUUGCAGAUUAGUUAUUAGGGGUGUAGGCACAAGUGGUUGUGUUCUGAAUUCCAUUUAACUGAUCUCAGGAGAUGUAUAAAAUAUAAAUUAUAGAAAACAACACCAUGCAUAAUUGUCGAUAUGUUUAUUGCAUAAAAUUUACACAGGUACUCAUCAUGUCUGAUUCUUAACAACAAUUGCAAACGUCUUGAUAGAUAAUCUCAUACCAUAUAUAUGCAUUGUACUGUUGAAUGGAACAAUUGUGGUUGUUGAACUACAAGAUACCAUUCUUAGAAGCAUGAUCAUACAUAUGGACAAGUUGUUGACAGCUUGUCAGAAAUUACAACAAUGGCUGAUUACUGAACAGUUUUUGCUAUUGCAGCUGUAAUCUGGUGCAGAAUGCAGGGGUUUAGUUUCUGAUAAUUAUAACAAAAAAUUAUAGUAUCAAUCUGCAUGUUUUACAAUAUUAGUUUGAGGGAAUACCCCAGUUUCACUGCUUUGGCUGGUGGUUCACUGAAUUGAGGCUGUGGCUGGCUUAGCUGGAGACUGAUAGCCUGUAAAUCAUAUCCAUUUCUGAUAGUGCAGGAAGGACUGGAUGCUGCAUCUUUUUCAUUGGUACUCCUUGCUUCAUAAACCUAAGAUCCAUAUCUUCUGUUUAGUUUUAGUUGAAGUAAACUUGAAGUAUUUAGCUUCUAGAUAAAUUGCAUUAGGACUAAAUAUGUGCUUUGUCUGUGUGCACAGACUUGUUAAUCAUACAUGCCUAACUUUUUUAGAGAUGAAUAUCUGAUUCCUAAAUUGUACUCAUCAAGUGCAGUCCUUCCUGCACAUGAGUUAUAGGUGAAUAUCUGAUUCCUAAAUUGUAGAAUGUUUUUUCACAACCGCCUACCUUCUUUUGUAGCUCUGCGUUUUCUUUUUGGAUAAGCUCCAUCUUUUUAUAGAGUUCCGCAUUUUCUUGAUGAAUGAGAUUUCCCUACAAUUGCAUUAAUGGAAAUUGGUCAAAAGUUUGUGGGAAAACCUCAGUCAAACAUAGCAAGAAUAAAACCAGUCUCCUGAAACCUUUUGGUGUAACUCCUUAAUCUCAUCAGUCAAAAUUUGGUCCUGCAGGGAAAUAGAUUAUGCUGUAAGAGUAAUAAAGGUGUUGUCAAAAAGAUGGAAUCUUGAAACAUGAGUCAAAGAAAUUUGAUUUGAUGUGACCAUCAUACCUUUUUCAUGCGAACACCCUUUAAACUCAUCUCCAGUUGGUUUUCCAGAUUUUGUAGUUCUUUAACACCCAAACCAGAAAGUCCUUCACCCAUUAAUUGCCUACUUUUACCAUGAAGAAAGUGUCAAACAACCACUUUAUCCCAAAAACUUAAGCUGGUGGGUAAGGGACUAAGGGUCACUUUAAUGGUUUUAUAUUAUAUUCUAACACGCCUCCUCACGCAAGAGCCCUUUGGGCUUGAAGCAUGGAUAAAUGCACAGGCCCACCUACCAUGUGCUUAAUUAAAUUCCACUUUUUAAUCAGAAAGUGAGGGGAGCAAGGAUCGAACUCUAGACCUCUCGGUCAUAGAGGCUCUGAUACCAUGUCAAACAACCACUUUAUCCCAAAAGCUUAAGCUGGUGGGUAAGGAUCAUUUUAAUGGUUUUAUAUUAUUCUAACAGAAAGUAUGAGAUAAUUUUUCAUCUUAGAUGGGUUUAUUUCUAGCAGAAAAAUAUUGUAAGUUUCUAAGCUUAAUUUUUUAUAGUAUGGCUAGUUGUGUGUCAAGAAGCUCUAGUUGUCCUAUUUACAACAUUUUUUUUCACUGUCAGUGUUUUCAGAUCACAUGUUCUACUUAUAAUAAAUUGCUGUAGAGUUCUGAGUGAAUCAUUGGACCAAAAUUAUAUGAUUUACUAGAGUUCAGCUCUGCAGUGAUUUCAAAGCUAUUUUUUUGAAUUCACCUUUCCUUAAAGCCUAAUAUUGAAAGCUAUUCGUUUUUCAUAUCAAAGCCAAAUAACACAGUGGAAGGUUAGACUUAACAAGUUAUUUAUGAAAUAUUGUCAAACUUUGCUCCUUAUGUCUUGUCUUUUGAGUCUAUCUCUUCCAUUUCAUAUGUGGGAUGCCUCCAAUGUCUUUACCUCACUAAUGAGACACUCAAUAUAUAUUAAUUUCAUGCUAUGGAAAUGCUUGGGAGGGAGGAGAAGCAAAGAUGGAUAUGACUUUCCUUUUUGUUGAUAUUUUGGUAGAGAUUAGAAAGGUGCCUGGUAAAAUUCUUUUCCUUUUCCGAUUUUAUGCCCUCCCUAUAAUUUUACUCUCACCAAAAAGUGAUGAUAGUAACCUGCUUCAUUCUAUAUUCUUGCUUUUAGUACAAUUAUGCAACUGCUGGGCUUUCAUGCAUUUAUUAUAUUACCUGUGACAUUCUUGCAAGUAUUGUAGUUGUUGUCUCAAGCUUGCUGCUUCUGUCUGCCAAAACUAGCAAGUAGAAAUACAGAUAUCAGAUAUAUUUCACCGUUAUUAUCGGAGGAACUUAUUUUAAUACAAGAUUGUAGGGUAGAGAAUUUGAGGACUAACAUAAUGGACAAGAGCCAACAUCAGGAAUCAGGAUGCUUUUUAGACUAUAAAUAUUGCUAGUAUGGUGAUUUGCCUUAUUAUUUUACUGCACGUAAGUUAUUUUGGUGUCCUAACCAUAUUUUUAAAAUUCUUUAUAUAGUAGAAUAUCCCCUCUUUAGGCUGAAUUCGAUAGUCUUGGAUUUGGCCCGUUAUGUAACAAUAUGAGCUUGGUUGGAAGAAAUUCCAAUAUGCCCCUUCCUUCAUCCAAUUUACCCAGAAAGAGAAUAUGGUAUAACAGAGCAUAUAGCUCAAAAAACUGAAAAGAGAGAAAAGAGUGAUCACCUUUUAUUGGUGAUUGGAUAUAACUAGAGAACGAAGGAGUUCUCCUCUAAAUUUACCCUGGCUGCAGCAGAGCAAAUUCUCAGUUCUGAAAUGUUAACAAUCCAGAAUGAUCCGCCAACCUUUGCAUCCCCCUAUUUUCUUAUGUCACAAAUCCACUCUAACUUCUGUAACUGUCAAAACUAACAUCUAUUUUGUUAUUCUUCCCCUCUAACUACUUGAAGCAAAUGCCCUUCUAUCUAACAAAUUAUAACACGGUUAUGAUAAUUUUGGUAUCAUAGAUAAUUUCUGGUUGUUAUUCCUGUUAGGAAGAAUAGAAAUCUGGAAGAGUUUUGCUUGAAUACCCUAGUAUCCUUUAUUUUGGGGAUAUAAGGGAAUUGGCUAUGCAUAAUGCUUAUUUUACAUGAUGUGUAUCUAAUAAGAAGAGAGAUCAAACUAGACAAAUGGCUCUUCCUUAGGAGCAACUAGUGUUUUUGAAGCAUAGAGGGUAGGUGAUGUGAUCCUUUUUUUUGUUGUGGCUUUUUUGGCACAUGAAGGUGUUACCAUCACUUUAGCAUCUACAAUCUUUUCCAAAUCCACACCACCCAUCCCAACUUCCUUGAGUUAAGUCAAAAUGAUAUGGCUUUUAGAAAUAAUAAGGGUAAAUGAGAUAAAGUAUACCGGAAUCUAGUUAGAAGUAAUAUUGGAAUCUACCUUUCGUUGUUUAUAUAUAAGGUAAUUUCAAGAAUAUUGUUUUUUGUUUGUUCUCUCAUCUUGUGGAAUGAUUUUAAAUCAAUGGAAGGGAUCUCUUUAGUGUACCCCUUUCUCUUGGUUCUCUCUCAUCUGAAGUCAAGACACAAUUUUAGCCAACAAGCUAGAUGUAGAAGAGAAAAUAGAGCUGCUUUCUACUGAGUCAUUAUCAUUUUAUUGUAGUUCUAGACAUGCUUAUUGAACAAAUCUAAGCAACAAUGCAACUGUGCAUGCUUUUUGUGAACUGUAUGUAGAGGUUAGAGAAUUGAGAGAAGAUAUAAAUGCAAGGUUAGCGAUAUGCAGACAAACCUUACAAACAUAUGGCUUCUGACUAAAUAAAAGCAAAGCAGAAUAUAUGGAAUGUAGUUUGUACAAGACUGAUGUAGAAUCAGAAAUAAGUUGAUGAAGCCUACAACAAGUUUUAAUUAUUUGGUCUGUUAGUGAGACAGUGAAGCAUACAUCAGGCUAUUAAUCUUCUAUUUGGAUCUUCACUUACAUGCAAGCUCUUGCACAUUGGUACCUCAAUUCUAUAUUUUAUUGAAUGAGACUCGGCAAACGACUAAAGGGUGAAAUAUAUGAUGACACUUUCACACAGCAGAGACAAUCUAAGCAGAUUGACAUGUAUGUGCAUCUGUAACUAGGUGCAAAGUGCAGUUAUCUAAAGAGUCACGACAACUACAGACACCAUUGGAACACGUGUUGGCAUUGGACUGCUCUGCGAUGUGUAGUUUCCUGCAAUAAACAUUUAUUAUUUGGCUUUCUACUUUUGUCGCCAAAUUCAAGUUGUUGUUCAGGUAUUAUUAGAAAUAAUUUGAACUGCAUAAUAUAUGCAAAUUGAGUAAUGUAAUAAUGUAAUGCCUGAAACCAUGAAGUUUAACAGUAAAUAUAUUAUAAAAGCAGAGUUACCUUGAGUUC